GAAAUCAGCCAUAUCACUGGGUAGCCCAAAUCUUGUCGUCCUCCGAAGCCAAGCAGAGUUGAGAGCCUGGUCAGUACCUGGAUGGGAGACCACAUGGGAAAACCAGGUUGCUGUUGGAA
ensembl:rRNA 5S_rRNA 5S ribosomal RNA